AAUAUUGGGCAAUGGACGGAAGUCUGACCCAGCCAUGCCGCGUGAAGGAUUAAGGCGUUCUGCGUUGUAAACUUCUUUUAUCAGGGAAGAAACCCCGGCGUUCCCGUCGGGUUGACGGUACCUGAGGAAUAAGCACCGGCUAACUCCGUGCCAGCAGCCGCGGUAAUACGUAGGGUGCAAGCGUUAAUCGGAAUUACUGGGCGUAAAGCGUGCGCAGGCGGUUUUGUAAGACAGAGGUGAAAUCCCCGGGCUCAACCUGGGAACUGCCUUUGUGACUGCAAGGCUAGAGUACGGCAGAGGGGGGUGGAAUUCCGCGUGUAGCAGUGAAAUGCGUAGAUAUGCGGAGGAACACCGAUGGCGAAGGCAGCCCCCUGGGAUAAUACUGACGCUCAGACACGAAAGCGUGGGGAGCAAACA
rnacentral:rRNA from 1 species